rnacentral:lncRNA from 1 species
UUUUGUCUUUUUUUAAUUGAACUUUUUAAAACAAUAAAAUCGGCAAAGGGUCUGCAAAUAGGUUCCAAUACAUGUAGAUUACGUGGGAAGUAUAUUGUAACAGCCAUUAUUAUGUAUAUCUCUGAGUCUGCGCUAAGUAUAGAUAUAUCGAGAAUUUUAUCACAGUGUUGUUUACAAAGCGAAAGAAGCACGUCUUAUUAGAAUUAUAAUUUU